UGUCUCAGAAGACACUAGAAAGGGCGUUGGCGAAUCAUCUCGCAAUCAAGUUGAGCAAUUCUAGCCUUCCUAGUAGUACUUUGUUCGAUAUUUUUGUAGGGGUUCUUGAAGAGAAUCGAGACAUCAUUAGUGCGGUGAAGGAGGAUUUGAUAGCUGUGAAGGAAAGAGAUCCGGCGUGCAUAAGCUACGUGCACUGUUUCUUGAAUUUCAA
rnacentral:misc_RNA from 1 species